GACGUAGGGGCGAAGCGUUGUCCGGAUUACUGGGCGUAAAGGGCGCGUAGGCGGCCUGUUAAGUGUGAAGUGAAAUCUCCAGAGCUCAACUCGGAAACGGCUUCGCAUACUGGCAGGCUUGAGGAAUGCAGAGGUGAAUAGAAUUCCUGGUGUAGCGGUGAAAUGCGUAGAUAUCAGGAGGAAUACCCAUGGCGAAGGCAGUUCACUGGGCAUUAUCUGACGCUGAGGCGCGAAAGCGUGGGGAG
rnacentral:rRNA from 1 species